UAAAUAUAGUAAGUGAACAAAACAGUUUUGUCACCACCUUAACACUGAGCUAACUAAUCCCACUGCUUGAGAUGAAUUUACCCGGUCUAAAGGAACUACAUGCGCUUUCUGGGUUCACUAAUAAGAUGGAAGUAAUAAGCUCCUGGAUACCACUUUAGCAUGCCAGUCGUGCGUUAUAAAGACACAUUGCAUCAGGCUUUCACAUUACAGUGGUAGCUGUUGUAGCUGUCAACAAACAAACUUUGCUUGGGGCGCAUAAGCAAUUUAAAAAGGGAUCUGGCAGUCAUCUAAUGUGGGUGGGAAAUCAUGUUCUAUGUUAGGUUAUGAAGUGUUCAUAUGCAAUCAGGGCAGAGGGCCCCAACCAGAGCCUGUGGAGAGCUAGCGGACAUGAUCCAGGAGGGCCACCGUACUGCUGCCCCAGAAGUUCACUGCUAAGUUCUGACAGGAAACAUCAACUGUAGACGGCACAGGAAACCACUCCCCUUCGGAGCACAAAGUGGAGCACAGUGGAAAAAGACCCUAAACUACCAUGCGAAACAACGGACUAUCACGACCUCUACAAAAGGAAUGCACUGACCUCUACAUGGUAACGUCACUAUCUACUGCCCUGCCAAUGACCACUGUUCAUGCAGAGUAGAGAGUCCAAUCCAGUGUUAAGUCUUUUCCAACAUUUUUGGACUGUUAAAAAAUAAAUAAAAAAUCCUUUCAAAUGUCAAUGCUGUCCUCAUUAUAAAGUCUUCACUAGCAAGUCAACAUUUGAAAGACACUUCAAGUUUGAAUACAAUUUGACGUCUACACUAACACUUGUCAGACUACUACCAUGUACAGGUUUAUUUUGUUGUCAUUUAGCAGACGCUUUUAUCCAUUGUGACUACAUACAUUUUUA